ACAACAGGGAAGUGCCUAAGUAACGGCGAAGUGAAGCGGCAAUAGCUCAAAUUUGAAAGCUGGCCCCUUCGGGGUCCGCGUUGUAAUUUGUAGAGGAUGAUUCGGCGAGGGCUCCCGUCUAAGUCCCUUGGAACAGGGCGUCAUAGAGGGUGAGAAUCCCGUAUGUGAUGGGCUGCCUUAGCCAUGUGAAUCUCCUUCGACGAGUCGAGUUGUUUGGGAAUGCAGCUCUAAAUGGGAGGUAAAUUUCUUCUAAAGCUAAAUACCGGCCAGAGACCGAUAGCGCACAAGUAGAGUGAUCGAAAGAUGAAAAGCACUUUGGAAAGAGAGUUAAAAAGUACGUGAAAUUGUUGAAAGGGAAGCGCUUGCAGCCAGACUUGUCCGCAGUUGCUCAGCUUGUCUCCUGACAGGCGUACUCUUCUGCGGCCAGGCCAGCAUCAGUUCGGGCGGUCGGAUAAAGACCUAGGGAAUGUAGCUCCUCUCGGGGAGUGUUAUAGCCCUGGGUGCAAUGCGGCCAGCCUGGACUGAGGAUCUCGCUUCGGCUAGGAUGCUGGCGUAAUGGCUGUAAGCGG
rnacentral:rRNA from 1 species